rnacentral:rRNA from 1 species
GACGUAGGGCGCGAGCGUUGUCCGGAUUAUUGGGCGUAAAGAGCUCGUAGGCGGCUUGUCGCGUCGUCCGUGAAAACCUGCAGCUCAACUGCAGGCUUGCGGUCGAUACGGGCAGGCUAGAGUUCGGUAGGGGAGACUGGAAUUCCUGGUGUAGCGGUGAAAUGCGCAGAUAUCAGGAAGGAACGCCGGUGGCGAAAGGCGGAC